GGGGGUGUAGUGUAGGGGUUAUCGCGCUCCCUUCGCAACAGUUGAUCUUCGUCAACUAUCUGAUUGGGAGAGGUCCUGGGUUCAAUUCCCAGCUCCUCCA